rnacentral:lncRNA from 1 species
ACCAAUCCGAAAUAAUGAUAUGGUACUGACUGAAUAAGAUUUAAAGCACAUCUGCUGCCGUCCUCCUCAUUUCAUGCUUGAAUUCCCGCGACCAGUGUUGUUAGAGGUAGGACACACCCUCAAAGUUUUAUGCAGUGUGUUUGCGGAGAGGAUGCCGCUGUGAUUUGUUGUUCCUGCAGUCAAUCCCUAGUUGCUAGAGCGAUUUGAAUCUUAAAAAAAAUAGGUGAAAAAAAAAUCUAAUA